GAGAGGUGGCCGAGUGGCUGAAGGCGCUGGUUUGCUAAAUCAGUAAACGGGUAACCGUUUCGAGGGUUCGAAUCCCUCUCUCUCC
rnacentral:tRNA from 1 species